GUGGGGAAUAUUGGACAAUGGGCGAAAGCCUGAUCCAGCCAUGCCGCGUGCAGGAAGAAGGCGCUACGCGUUGUAAACUGCUUUUAACCGGGAAGAAACCCCAGGACGUGUCCUGGGUUGACGGUACCGGAGGAAUAAGCACCGGCUAACUUCGUGCCAGCAGCCGCGGUAAUACGAAGGGUGCAAGCGUUAUCCGGAUUCAUUGGGUUUAAAGGGUGCGUAGGCGGAGCGUUAAGUCAGUGGUGAAAUCCUGCAGCUUAACUGUAGACUUGCCAUUGAUGCUGGCGCUCUUGAGUGCGCUUGAAGUGGGCGGAAUGUGCCGUGUAGCGGUGAAAUGCUUAGAUAUGGCACAGAACACCAAUUGCGAAGGCAGCUCACUAAGGCGAUACUGACGCUGAGGCACGAAAGCGUGGGGAUCGAACAGGAUUAGAAACCCCGGUAGUCC
rnacentral:rRNA from 1 species